rnacentral:rRNA from 1 species
UACGUAGGGUGCGAGCGUUGUCCGGAAUUAUUGGGCGUAAAGAGCUCGUAGGCGGUGUGUCGCGUCGGCCGUGAAAACCUGCAGCUUAACUGUGGGCGUGCGGUCGAUACGGGCAUCACUGGAGUUCGGCAGGGGAGACUGGAAUUCCUGGUGUAGCGGUGAAAUGCGCAGAUAUCAGGAGGAACACCGGUGGCGAAGGCGGGUCUCUGGGCCGAUACUGACGCUGAGGAGCGAAAGCGUGGGGAGCAAACAGA